rnacentral:rRNA from 1 species
UACGUAGGGUGCAAGCGUUAAUCGGAAUUACUGGGCGUAAAGCGUGCGCAGGCGGUUCGUUGUGUCGGCGGUGAAAGCCCACGGCUCAACCGUGGAGGGUCAUUGGAAACUGGGGGACUUGAGUGCAGAAGAGGAGAGUGGAAUUCCACGUGUAGCGGUGAAAUGCGUAGAGAUGUGGAGGAACACCAGUGGCGAAGGCGGCGACCUGGUUCAUAACUGACGCUGAGGCGCGAAAGCGUGGGGAGCAAACAGG